UACGGGGGGGGCAAGCGUUGUUCGGAAUUACUGGGCGUAAAGGGCUCGUAGGCGGCCAACUAAGUCAGACGUGAAAUCCCUCGGCUUAACCGGGGAACUGCGUCUGAUACUGGAUGGCUUGAAUCCGGGAGAGGGAUGCGGAAUUCCAGGUGUAGCGGUGAAAUGCGUAGAUAUCUGGAGGAACACCGGUGGCGAAGGCGGCAUCCUGGACCAACACUGACGCUCAUGCACGAAAGCGUGGGGAGCAAACAGG
rnacentral:rRNA from 1 species